rnacentral:lncRNA from 1 species
UUCUGUCCAUUGGAAAAUUUCUUCAAUGUUACUUUCAAAAAAUAUCCUGAAAUCCACUACCAUUCAUCUCCACUGAUAACUGUCUACAAAAUCAGAAAGUCUCUGACAAGUAGAAUAUAGAAUAAUAACAAAUAUGGAUUUGUCAGUCCUAUCUUGAUUUAAAAGUGCAGGUUUUAAUUAUGUAUGUACUGACUAAGAGCCUUGCAGCAAGAGACUGCUCUUUCGUGAACCAAAAUUGCCUGCUCAUUCAGGUGCUUUUCCGUAAGGACAUAAAGUAUCACUA